rnacentral:ncRNA from 2 species
AUAUAUUUGUCACAGUUUUGUUCCGUCAGGCUUCCCGAUUGGUAGUGCGAAGCUGCGGAUGAAAAGGGAAUCGGGUGAAAGUCCCGGACAGUCCCGCUGCUGUAAGCUCCUUGAGGAGGCUUGUUUACCACUUCGAGCCACUGCCGUUUCCUGAAUGUCACAGGAAAGGCGGGAAGGCAUAACAAGCUGGAGUAAGUCAGAAGACCUGCAAAACGAUAUCGCGCUUA